CCGGCUUUGCUUUCCAUGUCCUCGUGCUCUUCGAUUUUCUUGUUCUCACUUCUCUUUAUCUUGUUGCUGCAGGGUCAUCCAACUUCUUGUUUAUCAGGCUACUGUUUGAUAAAAUGUUUCCUGACGUCCGGACCAGUCAUACUUAUGCAAGAUAACUACUUCAGGUUAGGCGGGAGAAAUAAAAAGGGUAACCAUAGAUAUAUGGUCUAGCAUCACGAGGUUCAGGUUCCUGCUGUUGAUCAACCGUUGCUUCGGUCGAGGUGGCUUAUGCUUGAUUAUGUUCUUCUUUGUAUUUUUGUUCAUGGCCUACAUUGGUGUUACCAUCUAUUCUGUUACAAAAAUUUCAAUGGCUUAGUUUCAUGUCCCAGUACCACUUGAAGUACAACUAAGUACCUUCGGACAGGACAAUAAUGUAUGUAUUUACCUAUGGUUAUUGUUUCCUAUAAGAAA